UACGUAGGGUGCAAGCGUUUGUCCGGAAUUAUUGGGCGUAAAGAGCUCGUAGGCGGUCUGUCGCGUCGGCUGUGAAAACCCGGGGCUCAACCCCGGGCCUGCAGUCGAUACGGGCAGGCUAGAGUGCGGUAGGGGAGACUGGAAUUCCUGGUGUAGCGGUGAAAUGCGCAGAUAUCAGGAGGAACACCGGUGGCGAAGGCGGGUCUCUGGGCCGUAACUGACGCUGAGGAGCGAAAGCGUGGGGAGCGAACAGG
rnacentral:rRNA from 1 species